rnacentral:rRNA from 1 species
ACGAACGCUGGCGGCGUGCUUAACACAUGCAAGUCGAACGGUGAAGCGCCUUCCUUUUUGGUGGGUGUGGAUGAGUGGCGAACGGGUGAGUAACACGUGAGUAACCUGCCCCCUUCUUCUGGAUAACCGCAUGAAAGUGUGGCUAAUACGGGAUAUUCUGGGUCUGUCGCAUGAUGGGUCUGGGAAAGAUAUUGUUUCGGUGGGGGAUGGGCUCGCGGCCUAUCAGCUUGUUGGUGGGGUGAUGGCCUACCAAGGCGGUGACGGGUAGCCGGCCUGAGAGGGUGGACGGUCACACUGGGACUGAGACACGGCCCAGACUCCUACGGGAGGCAGCAGUGGGGAAUAUUGCACAAUGGGCGCAAGCCUGAUACAGCGACGCCGCGUGAGGGAUGGAGGCCUUCGGGUUGUGAACCUCUUUCGCCAGUGAAGCAGGCCUGCCUCGUUUGUGGGUGGGUUGACGGUAGCUGGAUAAGAAGCGCCGGCUAACUACGUG